rnacentral:lncRNA from 1 species
UCGAGCUAUAGAAUCGAAUUAGGUCCUUAGAUUAAUCGAUUUUACAUAUAGGUGUCAAUCAAUUCGAUCAACAAUAAUUAUAUUAUCUUAAGCUCUAUUGACUUAAUCCUAAUCAACACUUGACUCAGUUUGAUCAACUGCUAAAUCGAUUUAGACCCAAUAUGAUCAAAUCAAAAAUUCUAAAUGUAAUCCAAUUACAUGGCCUAAUUUGAUCUACCCAUGAC